UACGAAGGGGGCUAGCGUUGCUCGGAAUCACUGGGCGUAAAGCGCACGUAGGCGGCUUUUUAAGUCAGGGGUGAAAUCCUGGAGCUCAACUCCAGAACUGCCUUUGAUACUGAAGAUCUUGAGUUCGGGAGAGGUGAGUGGAACUGCGAGUGUAGAGGUGAAAUUCGUAGAUAUUCGCAAGAACACCUGUGGCGAAGGCGGCUUUCUGGGCCUUACCUGACGCUGAGACGCGAAAGCGUGGGGAGCGAACCGG
rnacentral:rRNA from 1 species